UAAAACCUUAAGUUAAAUUAAACUAAUAACCUUCAAAGUUAUAAAUAUACAAAAUGUUUAGGUUUUAG
rnacentral:tRNA from 1 species